rnacentral:rRNA from 1 species
UCCAUAGCUGGUUUGAGAGGAUGAUCAGCCACACUGGGACUGAGACACGGCCCAGACUCCUACGGGAGGCAGCAGUGGGGAAUCUUAGACAAUGGGGGACCCUGAUCUAGCCAUGCCGCGUGAGCGAUGAAGGCCUUAGGGUUGUAAAGCUCUUUCAGGUGGGAAGAUAAUGACGGUACCACCAAGAAGCCCCGGCUAACUCCGUGCCAGCAGCCGCGGUAAUACGGAGGGGGCUAGCGUUGUUCGGAAUUACUGGGCGUAAAGCGCACGUGCGGAUCAGAAAGUCAGAGGUGAAAUCCCAGGGCUCAACCUU